ACACAAAUAAGACGGAGACUUACACACACCGUUGUGAUUGCUGUCAAUCAAAGCCCUGAUUCAUCAUUGGAUUUGUCUACUGGUACAGCCCAUCACUUCUCUUUCCUGUUGAACACAUCAGACUAUCGCAUCCUGCGCAUGGAUGAGGAUCACGACCGCAUGUAUGUGGGCAGCAAAGACUACAUCCUGUCUCUGGACCUCCAUGACAUCAACCGAGAACCCCUCAUAAUACACUGGCCUGUUUCUCCACAGAGGAAGAUGGAGUGUGUUCUGAGUGGCAAAGACACAAACGUGAGUGCCGUCUUUCAAUUUCUUUGCUUCCACUCCGCUCACAUAUGCUUUAAUCUGGAAGGCGAAGAAAAACUCAGAAUAGCACUCAGCCCUUCAAAUAAGUGUUCUAAUUUUUCCAAGAAUUAUUCCAGACAGCAGAGAUCUAAUAUUUGCUUUCAAUUUCCCUUUCAGGAAUAUGUCUUCCAUCUGGAGCCCGGCAAGGAGGAUUCUGGGAAGGGAAAGUGCCCAUAUGAUCCAAAACUGAACAGUGUCUCCACUUUGAUUAAUGGAGAACUGUAUGCAGGGGUGUAUAUUGAUUUCAUGGGAACAGACUCUGCUAUUUUCCGAACUUUGGGGAAAAAUGCAGUCAUGCGCACUGACCAAUACAACUCAAGAUGGCUAAAUGACCCCUCAUUUGUCCAUGUGCACCUUAUCCCUGACAGCAACGAAAAAAACGAUGACAAACUCUACUUUUUCUUCCGUGAGAAGUCUUCCGAGAUGGGCCAGAGCCCCAAAUUACAGUCACGCAUCGGUCGAAUCUGCCUGAACGAUGAUGGCGGUCACUGCUGCUUGGUCAACAAGUGGAGCACCUUCCUGAAAGCCCGUCUCAUCUGCUCAGUCCCAGGAGCUGAUGGGAUUGAAACACAUUUCGACGAGCUCAGGGAUGUGUACAUACAGCCUACGCAGGACACUAAAAAUCCCGUCAUCUAUGGGGUCUUCUCUGUGUCUGGCUCUGUAUUCAAAGGCUCAGCGGUCUGCGUCUACUCAAUGGCAGACAUUCGGAUGGUGUUCAAUGGACCUUUUGCUCACAAAGAAGGUCCCAAUUAUCAGUGGGUGGCCUACUCUGGAAAAAUCCCCUACCCUCGUCCAGGAACAUGUCCUGGUGGGACUUUCACCCCUAACAUGAAGUCCACGAAAGACUACCCUGACGAGGUCAUCAACUUCAUGCGGAACCAUCCCACCAUGUACAAUACUGUGUAUCCGGUGCACAAGCGCCCCCUGGUGGUCAGGACCAACGUAGACUAUGAGUUCACCACCAUCACUGUGGACCAGGUGACUGCAGCCGAUGGCAACUACGAAGUGCUCUUCCUGGGUACAGACAGAGGUACAGUACAGAAGGUUAUCGUCCUGCCCAGAGAUGACCUGCAGACAGAGGAACUACUGCUAGAGGAAGUGGAGGUCUUUAAGGUGAGAUCUGCACCGGGGUCUCCAGGUCAACAACUAUAUGUAGCGUCAGCGGUUGGUGUGACUCAUCUGGCCCUGCACAGGUGUGAUGUCUAUGGCGAGGCCUGCGCAGACUGCUGUUUGGCCCGGGACCCUUAUUGUGCAUGGGAUGGCAAGUCCUGUUCUCGGUACUCUGCCUCACAGAAGAGACGCAGUCGGCGACAGGAUGUGAAAUACGGGAAUCCCAUACGGCAGUGCAGAGGAUACAAUUCUAACACUAAUAAGAACACUCUGGAGACGGUGCAGUAUGGGGUGGAGGGCAGCAGCACGUUUUUGGAGUGCCAGGCCAGAUCACCCCACGCUGCCAUUAAAUGGCAUCUCCACCGAGACAACAGCGAUAGAAGGAGAGAGGUCCGUACCGAUGGGCGCGUGUUGAAGACAGAUCAAGGCCUACUACUGCCUUCCCUCCAGUCCUCAGACUCUGGCAUCUACGUUUGCACACUGGCUUUUCAUUGUGUGCAUGAUUUAUAUAGUGAUAUCGUAAUAACGAAAUUAAACAUAGCUACUUUGCAGUUCUUUCUGUUCAUAUAUUUUUAUGGUCAGGUCAGUGUUGGACAGAAGGCUGAUGGUCUUCCUCUGCGUGGCUUACACAGCCAAAACAGACGGCAACUAUUCACCUUAAAACGAUGA
ensembl:lncRNA